rnacentral:rRNA from 1 species
ACGCUGGCGGCGUGCUUAACACAUGCAAGUCGAACGAUGAAGAGCAGCUUGCUGCUUGGAUUAGUGGCGCACGGGUGAGUAAUAUAUAGGUAAUGUGCCUCUUAGUCUGGGAUAGCCAUUGGAAACGAUGAUUAAUACUGGAUACUCCUUCUAACUCUAAUGUUAGUCGGGAAAGUUUUUCGCUAAGAGAUCAGCCUAUAUCCCAUCAGUUAGUUGGUAAGGUAACGGCUUACCAAGGCAAUGACGGGUAGCGGGUUUGAGAGGAUGAUCCGCCACACUGGUACUGAGACACGGACCAGACUCCUACGGGAGGCAGCAGUGAGGAAUAUUGCACAAUGGGGGAAACCCUGAUGCAGCAACGCCGCGUGGAGGAUGACGCAUUUCGGUGUGUAAACUCCUUUUAUAUGUCAAGAAAAUGACGGUAGCAUAUGAAUAAGCACCGGCUAACUCCGUGCCAGCAGCCGCGGUAAUACGGAGGGUGCAAGCGUUACUCGGAAUCACUGGGCGUAAAGGACGCGUAGGCGGAUUGGAAAGUCAGAUGUGAAAUCCUACAGCUUAACUGUAGAACUGCAUUUGAAACUUCUAAUCUAGAGUAUGGGAGGGGGAGAUGGAAUUAGUGGUGUAGGGGUAAAAUCCGUAGAUAUCACUAGGAAUACCGAAAGCGAAGGCGAUCUCCUGGAACAUUACUGACGCUAAGGCGUGAAAGCGUGGGGAGCAAACAGGAUUAGAUACCCUGGUAGUCCACGCCCUAAACGAUGAACACUAGUCGUCGGGAUGCUUGUCAUCUCGGUGAUGCACUUAACAGAUUAAGUGUUCCGCCUGGGGAGUACGGUC